CCAAUAGCGUAUAUUAAAGUUGUUGCAGUUAAAAAGCUCGUAGUUGAAUUUCGGGAUCAAUAUUUCGGUCAUGCCGUUGGUAUGCACUGUUAUCAUUGAUUUCUCACCUUCUAAAGAACCGUAAUGCCAUUAAUUUGGUGUUACGUGGAAUUAGGACUGUUACCUUGAAAAAAUUAGAGUGUUUAAAGCAGGCUCACGCU
rnacentral:rRNA from 1 species